AUGAACGCUGGCGGCGUGCCUCAUACAUGCAAGUCGAGCGAACAGACGAGGAGCUUGCUCCUCUGACGUUAGCGGCGGACGGGUGAGUAACACGUGGAUAACCUACCUAUAAGACUGGGAUAACUUCGGGAAACCGGAGCUAAUACCGGAUAAUAUAUUGAACCGCAUGGUUCAAUAGUGAAAGACGGUUUUGCUGUCACUUAUAGAUGGAUCCGCGCCGCAUUAGCUAGUUGGUAAGGUAACGGCUUACCAAGGCAACGAUGCGUAGCCGACCUGAGAGGGUGAUCGGCCACACUGGAACUGAGACACGGUCCAGACUCCUACGGGAGGCAGCAGUAGGGAAUCUUCCGCAAUGGGCGAAAGCCUGACGGAGCAACGCCGCGUGAGUGAUGAAGGUCUUCGGAUCGUAAAACUCUGUUAUUGGGGAAGAACAAAUGUGUAAGUAACUAUGCACGUCUUGACGGUACCUAAUCAGAAAGCCACGGCUAACUACGUG
rnacentral:rRNA from 1 species